rnacentral:tRNA from 1 species
GGCCCAGUGGCCUAAUGGAUAAGGCACCAGCCUUUGAAGCUGGGGAUUGUGGGUUCAAGUCCCACCUGGGUCG